UACUGAGGAUUGAGUGAAGCAAGUUGCGGCUGAGUUGAUGAAGCUUUUAGUAGCUAUCGUUAUUAAGAGUUUGUAUAACUGAGAGUUGCUCUGGAGAUGCUAUCUUGCAAUAAGAGAGCUUAUGUCGUGUACUAGUAACUUCCCUGUGAAAUGUUUGUUAGACCAUGAGUUUUCUCUGAUAAACCUGCAUGUCCUGAAACGAAAAGAUCUUGUUACUUCUCUUUUGUUAGCACUGAGCUUCUGUGAGGGCUUUAGAUUUACUUACCAAUCAGCCAUCAAUUUUAUUCUUCACAGGGUUGUCACUCGUAUUCGAAAAUACAAUUCACAGAAAUCCAUAACAUAGAGCCCACGAUUACUAUGAUAUUAAUCAUAUCAUUGACAUCACCUGCUUUCUUCCGCAAGUGCAAAUAAAGCACGCUAACAGAAAUCGAAAUAAUCAAAUCACAUCAUCUAAAUGACCGGUACCUAUUGACAGCAAUUCGAGAGUAGCAAAGCAAAUCGUCACAAUGUAGCUAACAUGGACCUUCAUAACAGUAAAUAUUGCGGUGGCAUUUAACGAAACAACAUAAAGUAGAAAACAUCAAAGCGUUAACGGUACUUCAAUCACUCCAUAAACAACAGUCUGGUCCAUGAGCAACAUGGCAUGAUUGUAGCUCAAACGGUCCGCAGCCCAAAUCACUUGCAGAGCUAAGUAAGGCCAGCUAAACUGACAGUAGACCACAUCUUUUUUAAGCCAUGAUCUUGGCCGAUCUCAUGUAAAGGCUGUCCACAACCUUCCCGACAUUUGUGAUCGUCUCGAGCGUGGCAGGGAAGAUCUCCUCGGUCUUGGUAUCCUCGAAGAUGAUGAGGCAGCCAGCGCCCUGAUCCAGAGUCCCCGCGAAUUUCUUGUCGAGGAUCAUCUGGGACAGCUUCUUCUCAACAUGGUCGAUCGGCAGCUCAAUCAUCUCUGCUAUGUGUGCAAUCUCCACCCUAGAGUAGGGCUCAAUCAACCUGCAGAGGUUCUGCUCCAGGAGGGUAUCGUAAAGCGACGAGAGGUGCCUAUGGACGAUAGGAUCUUCCUCCAGCUGGGACUUGUAGUCACGGAGAGCAGUUUCAAAGUACUUCAGAGACCUUUUGGAGUAGGCAUCGGCCACAGCUUUCAUGGCAUCAACAUCAGGACCCAGAUACUUCAGGCCAGCCUUUGAUGAGAUGAUUCCUGCAACAUCAUCGGCUUGGUUGACCAUUAUCUUGCACAGAAGCAUGUACUUCAAGCUGAAGAUGGCCUUAGGAUCCUCCAGAGAAUUGAAAGCUUCAAAUGCUUCGAAGAAGUAGCUGUAAGCAGUCUUGUAGUCCUUUUCUUCAGCAUGAAGGAUUCCACUCUGCAGAUCAAUAGUGCCCUGCUGAGAUGGUGGCACAUAAAUGGCAUUGGCUGCAGUUCUAGCAGCAGUCAGAGAAGCUUUGGCCUUUGGCAGAUUUCUCAGAGAGAAAUGGAGUUUGCUCUCCAGAAGGUCAAUGUCCACAAGAAGCAACUUGUCGUCCAGCCUCCUGACUUCCUUGAUGAGACCAGAAAGGAGCGUAAGGGCCUCGGUAUAAUCCUGAUUCUCUAACAGAAGGGCUGCCAGCCUUGCUUCCACACGCUGCCUGAGGAAGGUACGCUUCUCUGUACGGGUCCAUUCCACCAUCUCCUUGCAGAGUGAGAUCUGAAGCUCAGAAGUUCCAGGUAUCUUGGCAACAGCAUCAAUGAUGCCACGCACAAUCUUCGCAGUCUUUGCCUUCGGGAUCACAGCAAAAAAGGGCCUGAGCUGGGUCAAAAGAUUCCUGAGAUCCUCAGCUCUGUUUUCUUUUGUGAGGUAGUUUGUCAGAUUUGUAAUGGCAAGCUCUUUUACUCUCAGUGCAUCCGCUGAAGAAGAUGGGUCUUCGAGCACACGGUAGAGGAUUGAGAUGGACUCAGACGCAUCCUUGGCUUCCUGAGCCUUUGAUAUCGACUCAGUGGUAGCAGGAAGGUACGGUGAUUGCACCGAAGUAGACAUCGCCACUCCCUAGUACGAGAGUUUACUGCACAUGGUUAGAAAAUAAAACAGGGAUGGUCAAAAUGUAAAAGGAAUAAGUAAUACAGGGCAUUGCGGGAUAUGGUACGCACAUCAGCACAUAUACGAAAAGAAAGUCUACUCACAAAGUAAAUAAACAACUUCAACAGAAAACUAAUAACCAGUCGCAGUAUACAGAUGUUUGAUCAUGCCCACAAGAAAAAAAUGUAUGCGGAUGGAACCAGCAAUCAUGCACUACCCUACCUAACAAAAAAGGGGGUCUCAGGAUUUAGAAACCAAUUAUCAAAGUGAGAUAUUGUGCAUUCUGAAUCAGAUAGGCAGCUAUGCCACACUGCAAUUGAGAGCCUACUCGUUUCUGCCUAAAACAUCAAAGGACAUGGACUCAUGACAGGAAAAGAAAAAGCAAGCACAUUGUUUCAUCUUGAACGGUUGAACCAAAACCAUGGAAUUUCAUUCAAAAUCGUUAGGAGAUCAAUAUACUUUGCAUCCACGGUCAGGUCACCGCCGCCAAAUAUUUGUGACAGGCAAAGCCUCUUCAGGACUACAAGAUGACACCUAACAGGCCAAUAGCCCAAUACAAGGCACUGUGGGGGAAAAAGCUUCCUUUUUUUUUUCUAGUUUGCAGUAUCACAAAUUGACUUACACAACUAAGUUCCACAAUCGAAAGGACCGGGACACCACUCUGCAUAAAACUAAAACAGUACACAGGAGGAACACGGCACUUGAGUAACUCGGCGAAACCCGCGCGCCAGAGGUGGCUCCUCGAACUAACAGCCUAGCCAACACACCAAGCGAGAUGCCGUACUCAGAGCAGAGAAGGGGGGCACGAAUUCGAGCACAGAUUGCGCCGAAAAAAAAGAAGAAGGGGCGUCCCCCGGCUACCUGCUUCCGAAGGGUAGCACGCGCGAUUCAACGAGCAGAUGCCUCGACCGGUAGGUCAAACGUAGCAAAAGAAUCCGCAACCAACCGCGAGCGCGGGGACCCCGAUCUGAUUCUACAGCUCGCCGGGAAGAAGAGACGAACAGAUCUCGCGGGAAGAACAAACACACUGAUCCGUAGGGGGGGGCAAGCUAGGGUUCCGUUUAUACCUUGCCGACGGAGGGAGAGGAAGUCGAUCCGAGCCCGGGGGGCAGGAGGCGGCGGCCGGCGUGCUCAGGUUCGGUGGAAGGAGGAGGCGUGAGGGUUCGUUCGGCUUCUCGAUGCGGCCGGCGGGGCCUCAGUUGAGUCCGCUCAGUCGAGUUUGAGAUUAUUUUUUUUUCUCUUGCUCUAUUCUAAAGAAAAGAAAGGCUUUCUUGUUUGUCAAGAAAGAAAAAAAGAAGAAGAAGAAGAAGAAGGCUUUAUAUGGCUCAGGCCCAGUUAGGAACGGGCCAGCUUUGGGCUGCUUGCUUUUCUGGAAGCCAUCUAGGAUUAGAACAAUCAAUCAGACUCGUCUAACAGGAAGAAUAGUAGUAGGAUAGUUUUCGAUAUAUAUAAAUUUCGCGUGUUAUGUAUAAAAUUAUUAUUUCUUAAAUGCAAACAAUCACAACCAUUAUGUUGACGGGAGGACAAAAGCGGCUGUCCCGGCAACGGAGGGGCAGGGGUGCGUGGCGGGUGUAGGCGACCGGCGAGGAGCGGCACGAGGCCCCGAUAGCGGCGGCGGCGGCAGCGCGAGGCUGGUGGUACUGAAGCUCGAAGCGGUGCGGCGAGCAGGUCGUGCAAGUUGGCGGUGGCGCGCACAGACGAGCGAGCUCGAUAGUGGCUCUGCAGUGAUGGCUGGAUCUAGGGUUGACGGAAUACAAACACCAUCCAUUUCAUCGUCCCUCGUCACUCAAAUCAAACAACAAAAUUGAAAUGUUCUUGUUCCUCCAACCAAACACCAACUGCUCUCACCGUUGGACAAGACAAUCGAUCGCGGUGGAUGGCGUUGUGGUGUCCCCCACAAGGACAAGACAACGGCUCUCACCGCCCAUCUAUGCGCGUGGUCUCGGUGCACGCUCCCUCCCCCAUCAACUACGCCAACCUCUACUCAGAUGUGGGAAGGGUGGACGCCGCGCCACUGAUCGAGCCGUUCACGAAUUGGAGGCGUGCCCCACAGUGCGCGCGAUGAACAAGACGAGCUCGCCCGGCCUGAACGGCUUUGGGCCGGCGUUCUACGCGGCAUCGUGGCCUACGGUGGCGCCGGCUGUCAUGGACUUGGCUAAGGCGUUCCAGGACUGCAUUGCUGAACUCGAGCGCCUCAACCGGUCCUACGUCGUCCUGAUACCGAAGCACACUGCCCAGGAUGCCACACCCUGCUGCUCCAGACCAAUCGUGCCCAGUUCUGCAGUAUGCAGAUGAUACGCUCAUCCUACUCAGGGCGGACGUGGCUGAGCUAUCGGCGCUGAAGGAAGUGCUUGACCUAUUCUCUCUAGCUAAUGGGCUGCACAUCAACUAUCACAAAAGCACUACACCAAUGAGUGUGUCGGCCGAGAUGGCUACAUAGCUCCAGCAGAUCCUUGGCUGCCAGCUUGGGAAUUUCCCUCAAACGUACCUCGGGCUGCCACUAUCCAAUGAGAAGUUACGGCUCUCUGCUUUCAGCCCCUUGAUCGCCAAGGUUGACAAGCACCUCAGCGGCUGGAGCGUGUCCCUGCUGAACUCAACUGGGAGAGCAGUGCUGAUCAAUAGUGUGGUGGACAGCCAACUUACGUAUGCCAUGUCAGCUCUUCUACUGCCGCCUGGGAUUCUUGAUGCUCUAGAUCGGCGACGUCGACGCUUCCUGUGGUCCGGUGAGGAUCAUGUCAGUGGCGCCCAAUGUCUUGUCACGUGGGAAACCGCGUGUCAGCCAAAGGAGCAAGGGGGAAUCAGCCUCAAGGAUCUUUCCCUACAAAACAGGAGCCUCCUGCUCAAGCACCUGCACUGCCUCCAUCACCCUGAUGGCUCCUCUUAGGCCAAUUGGGUGCGCAGCCGCAUCGACAUUGCAAGCCUGCAGGGUGACGUCGAGGGCGCCCACUGGCGCAUCCUGGAAGAUCUGUUGCUGCUAUACCAAGCUCUCACCUGCUCUGCGGUGUCUGACGUCCUCUCCACAAGUUUAGGGCAUGAUCGCUGGUGUGCGAUUUGUUCCCUCUCCUUUUCUCCCAUGCCGUCAACACGGAGCAAUCAGUAACGCAAGUGCUGGCCGACGGGCUGGGCGCGCAUCUUGCUCCACGCCUGUCGUGCCGGGCCGGUGAAGAGCUGCACCAGUUAACAGCUUUGCUGGAUCGGGUCACGCUCCGGGAUGACGUGGACCAACGCCUGUCUCCUCUUCUCAGUGAUGCCUCAAGUCUACGAUCUGGUGCUGUCUACACCAAGCUCGUGCAAACGUCGGGAUCGCCACCACCCCCCUUCGUCAAGUUCGUCUGGAAGAACCGCGGGCCACCACGGGUGCAGUUCUUUGUGUGGCUUUUGGUGCAGGGCAGGAUCCAAUGCCGUGCCAACCUGGUAAUGAAAAACAUCAUCGAGGAUGCGUGGUGCGAGCUCUGUGGGCAGGUCGAAGAUUGCGACCACAUUGUCUUUCGCUGCCCCUUUGCGGCGAGUAUUUGGAGCUCCCUUGGCGCGAACACAACAAGCUCCUUUGUCCAAAGCCUAUGGACUAUUCACCGUCCGGCAAUGGUUCCUGCGCAACACUAUGACAGCUUUCUGCUCCUUCUUUGCUAGAUGCUCUGGAAACACAGGAAUGAUCUUGUGUUCCAGCGAGCUCGUCCCUCGCGCCAGCGCUUCUGGACAUCCUGCCGAGAUGAGGGUCAGCUCUGGAGCGAGCGCUUUAGGGCGUCUGACCGCGUCAUUGCUAACACUUGGUGCGCCAUUUUUGUUUCAAUGUAAACUUGAUGCUAGAAACAGUUUCUCCCUCCUCCCCUCCUUGUUUUUGCUGAACUAAACCAUGUAAAGAUGUUUGGCCAAAAAUCGCCUGUAAAAAAAAACACCAACUGGGAUUUUUGCUCAUCCUAAAAAAAGAGGAUGACCAUAUUCCGUCCUGUCCCUUCACUCCAUUCAAACACACCAUAAACUACGAAACACCGAACCCUAUCCUCACAGCCACCACCAUUAUUAGCAUACAUCCACUUCAUCCAAUAGCAACCCCAUGUUGCCCAAUGCUCGGCAUCCAGAUUGGAGGAGAUAGGAUAGUUAGAUUCAAACGAUAGCCUCAGUGAUACAAGAGAUAAUAUAGUGGCACACGUGGAGACUCCCAUAUGGGUGGACCCCCCCCCCCUAAAAAAAAUCAAACCCCCUUCUAAUAUGGGAUAUGUACAUGUGUUUCUUUUUUCAAGUAACAUUCUUACAUUUUAGAUUGAGUGUUUAUUCAAAUUGUUGGCUAUUGAUGUUUUUUCUUGAAAAGUCUUGACCCUAUAAAAUUAGAAGUGUUGUGAAUUUUAUAUCUUUGACGAAAUGUGCAGGAAGAAAUUCAAUCAGAGUCACAUCUACCAAACCUCAAUAUUUUUUUCCACUAAAGGCCUCACCCGAAUUUCAUUACUAGAACAGCAACGAAAUUACAAAGUUUGAUAGUUUUAGGUUCCAGGACUGGUGACCACCAACAGUUUCAAGCGAUGCCAUCAACAGAGUGGCACACAAAGCUUUCUAACUGAGGCUUGCAGAAAGACCAAACCGUUGCUAACAAUCGAUGUACUGUAAACCUAAAAGUGAAUUUCCUCAAUGCCACUGAAAUUUAUAAUGAUCCCUGCAAUGCCAUCGAAAUUUUUGGCUUUCUUCAUUGCCAUUAGUUUAAAUUUGCAUUCCCUUCCUUGCCAUUGCCGUUAGCUUUCCGUUAGGAGAGAGUUAAGAGACGAGUAAAAUAAUGAUUUUGCCCUGGUCCAUCGUGCUCUGCGUCCUGCUCUUCAGAACGGCAGAACCGCCGUCCUCUCGUCGGUAAUGGCAGUGGCAGUGUCCUUGAGGAGGAGGUUCUCGGUCUUCGAGAGCAGCGCGCCCGAAGCUCUUGAAACACGUCCAUGGGCCAUGGACCGAGAAGCUCUCGAACGGGUGCUCCAGCAUGUAGGCAGGGCUCAGCCGCUGCUUGUCAUCGUCGGAGUCGCAGUCAGAGUAGCAGCACUCUGCGGCGACCUCCUGCCCCUCGACGUCAUCGGCCAUCUUGACGGCGCCCAGGUGGUCGGGCCGUCGGGGCAAGGGACGGUGCCGCCGUCACGGCUGGGUUGUUGGUGGAAGUUCAACUCGGUGUUCAGCAUAUAAAGCUGUGUACGACCUGAAGGUCUGCAAGGAUGACAUUGACCACACAAGCUUCUUUGCUAGUGCUUGUGCUUGUGCUCGCUUGUGCAAGAACUGGAGUUGCUUCCUCAAAAAGAAAAAGAAUGAAUGAAUGAAUCAAAGAAAGAAAGGAAGGAAGGAAGAAAAUAGAACUGCAGCGCGGCGGUUUCCGCGGGGCUGCCGCCCUGCCACAGAGAAUAUGAGCAGGAGUUGGAGCCUGGAGGAGCCCGCCGGCGUGCUGCUGCUUCUUGCUGCCCCCCGCGCUCAUCUUGACCGUCUCGUUCUUCUUGCUCGUGAGCCGUCGGAGGCUUGGAGCACGGGGCCACGGCGUCGUUGCCAGCGGGCGGCCAUCACAUCGCGGUGUCGUAGCCGUGCCGACUGUCGAGGAGGCGCGACGAGCACCGCACUCUCCUUUUCUCGAGUCCGCUGCUUCAAGAUCAUCUGCCGCUUCUUCAAGCUCCCCACCAGGAAGCGGUGGGGCGGCGGCCGUGGGAACAUAUUGCGAAAGCAAAGUCGCGAAAAUCAAAGUCGUCGGCGCAGCUAGGCUUAGAGCUUCACGGUGUUCAGCAGUGGGCACAUAUUGUAAGUGGAACAAACUUAACGACAAUGGCAUCGAAGGGAAUGGAAAUUUCAAAUAGUGGCAGUAAAGGGAGGUGAAGAAUUUCGAUGGCAUUGAGGGGAUAAUUUUUAGUGGCAUUGAGGGAAUUCACUUUAAAUCUAAAUAGAAAAUAAAGUCUUCUCAUGUUCCACCAUGGGGAUGAUUUGUCAGGCAUUCCCGCUUCUACUAGAGCAGCACCAUUCCAGCAUCAUCCGUCGGUGCUUCCUGCGCAUGGAAGUGAAGCGUUGUUGUCUUCAUUGCUUCCGCUCCAGCCUCCAGGUUCCAUUUGUCUUCUGACUUCUGGAGACCUGCCCAAAAUGAUAUGAAAGUAGAUGCUGAACACACAAUCUCGAUAGGAGAUUUUAUAUAGAGUAAAAUAUACAGGUGGUCCCUGAACUUGUCAUAGGGUAUCAAUUAGGUCCUUAAACUUUUGAAAUGCAUUUUUAGAUUCAUGAACUUGUCUUACCCAAUCAUUAAACUUAUUUUGUUUUGUUGCGGGGAAUAGAAGAAAAGAAGGGAGGGAAGAUUUUUUUUAUUUGUUUAUGGGGGGCCUCUUUUUCUCCUGAGCUGGCCCGCAUGCAGCGACGGCGUGGCGUGGCGGGGCGGGUGGGGACGGUAGGGUUGGCUGGUUGGGGUCGGCUGCGAGGGGGGAUGCGGGCGCGGGAGCUGUAGGAUGGGGAACGGAGGGUCCGGAUCGAGGGGAGCGCGGGCAGCAAGCACGGGGGCCAGAUCUGAGACCUGGUGCGUUCCGACGGCAGACAGAUCCGGCGAAGCAAUGCGACAACCGCCUGUAAGCAACCAAGAGGAGAAAACGCGACCGAGCAUGACCUGGAGAUACCGUUAGGAAUGUUCCGCGGAAAUGCUACGAAAGUUGUAAAAUUCCAUUGCCACGCAAGUACGUAUGUACUGUAAAAUUCCAUCGUUCUAUCACAUUCACUCAUGAGUACUACUGCCAUUCUUUAUCACAGAUUCACAGUUAACAUGCAUUGCAACUUAAAAGAUCAUGGUGCAGCAACAAGACGAUGUUGGCACAUGCAUGACAGAGAAACAGAUAACGUGGGCAAAUGUCAGAUUAACCACGCGGUACUGGACUCUUGGCACAGGUUCGUGAUAGACAAAGGCACUCAUAGUUCAGAGAUCAGUCUGGCAGCAGGUUACACAAUAUCCUUGAGCAAUGGUUUUCAGGCGACUCAUGCGCCUUGGGGUUCAGGGAUCAGUCCCACAUCAUGCUCACAAAGUCACAACCCUUGGGUGUUUGUUUCAAGGCGACUCACGCAUCGGAUAAAGAUAAGACUAACCCACGGAGUUUUUAUGUCAGAUAUCAGGCACCAUGAAUUCAGAACCCCUGCUUCGCCCUUUCCUCAUACCUGUUCUUCUCAACCUGAAAACAUGGCUCAGAACGUUAGUACCACAUACAGGUAUCAACAUGACAUCUUAAAGAUAGACACGGAUGUUCAGCAUUCAAAAGUUAUUUGAAUUAAACUUCCGAAGACAAGAAUCGGAGGACAGUGCUGAUGCAUAACCUUUUUAGCAUGGCACAGCCAACCUAAGCAGCUAGAUCCUAGCAUUGUCGCCUCAUGGUUUUGUACAAAGGCAAACAGUUACAGCCAGGCACAACACAAAACAUGCCAGGUAAUCAGCAAGAAUCCCUACUAGUAGCAGCAGGCAGGUCUUAUUAACAGGAAUAUCACCACUUUGCUAACGUUCUGAAGAUUAACUUGACAUCAGAAGUUCCAGCUGUCAACUACCCAUUCAAAUUCUCAUAGGCUGUUAUUUUAAAGAUUCAUUAGAAGGCAUAAGGCUGUUAUUUAGCAUUUUGUACCUAGCAGAAGAUGCAUAAAAAACAGAACAAAUAAGACAUGCCCCAUGGUCUCCUCUUCCUAGUAGUGUUUUUAAUGUAAUUAUGUGGUUCAACACUAAUUAGCAAAUGCAUGUUAGGACAUUGGUAUCACUUCUGCCAUCUACAUCCUGAAAAAUAUAAGACAAAUGAUUCUUCAAACAUAACAUGAACACUUCCCAAAUACUUUAAAAUGGCAACGAUGCAUCAUAUUUAUAUCAAACCAACCCUUUUCUACUUCCAUAUCAAUUACUCCCAAACAAAGUUUCCUCCCCACACACACUCUGACUUGCUGUGCAUCAUGACUUAGGGCAAACAAAAUUUCACGUAUAUACAAUUGCCAAAGUCCAUGCCAUGCAGCUGGGAAAAUAAGAUAAUACCAAAAUUUGCAUAGUGAAACCAGCAAAUAAUUUUUUUCUAGCAUUCCAAUAACUCAAUACUUAUACAUGAGUACAAUGGGGUGGUAAGGAAAUGAGAUAAUCCUUCCAAAAGACAAAGAAUGUCAGAAUGAAUAUGUAAAUUUUAUCUAAUCCAAGCACGUGCCUUAAGUAUGUGUCAUCACAUAGUAAAAUUUUGGCACUUCCAUGAUACUCUUAAUGGCAUUAUUGUUAAGAGGACAACAUGGUAUAGGAGCAUGCAAGGAAUGUAUAGGCCAAAAUGUUUAUUCAGUAUCUCAAACAAAUAAACUCUUCAGAGCAAUCUUGUGCUUGUGCAAACUCUUCAAAGUAAGAAAGGCAGUUGCAAAACAAGUUGCUGGCUACUUAUAGCAUGUAAACUACCAAAACAGGUAUCUAAACCCAAUGUCAUGGUCGCUUCCAAGUUCAGCAUUUCAAUCUCAACUGGGCAUUAAUAUUUUAUAUUUAUUAAGCUUGCCAGGUCAAACAAAAGCACAUCUGAAAUCCCAUAUCAAUGUAUCAAAGAACUUCCCAUCAAGAUGUAAUAGCAACAGAAGCAGGAGGCACUUUCUUUUAUAUAGUAUAAAUCAAGAUAAAUUGUUCCUUCUCAUUUUGUCCCUUACUAUUCCAUGGCACGACAGCAAAUUACUGGAAAAAUAAUUAACAGCUUGAGUGAACAUAUGAGGAACAGACCUCAAAAGCUUGCUUAAGGUACUCGAGCUCCUUGUCUAGGUCAUUGACAGCCUGGGUGUAGGCCUGUGUUGGGGACGACUGACUUGUGGUAUGGAUCUGUCCACACAAUAAAAAAUAAGAGAAAGCUGAAUGAACCUAAACUGAAGAAAAGAACUGAAAAAAAAAGCAUCUGUCAUACCCUGACAAUAAUCUUGUACUGAAGAGGGUGAGGGAGCUUAUAGCCAGCAAAGAGCACAUUUGGGUCCCUGUGCAGCUGCCUGCAGAAUAUCACUCCAUAAGUGAGUCAUAAAACACAACAGAAGAGGACAAGACAUGCUAAAAGAAUUGCUGUACUUACAUGCGAACAAUGUUGCCAAUGGUGUGGUCCUCACGCUCGAUGGUGAAGGAUGCAGCAUUCACGAUCUUUGUAUCCCUCUCAUACGACACCCUGCACAAAUGGUUAACACUCAUCAGUACCACAACCACACCAUCCAGACAAUUGAGCAAUGACAAAAGGCAACUAUAGUCACAAUUGAAUCUAUCGCUACAAAAGACUGAAAGCAAGAGAACCAACAGACAAACAUCAAGCAUUCAGAACUUUACGGUUUAUGCCAAAUGAAUCACUUUGCAUAGACUGUCGGAAAUGGAUACGGACAUAAGCAAGUGCUGUAGCAUUGCCUGAAAGCCCUGAAUCAUGCGCAUUGCUGCUUUCUAUCGAAACAGCUAAAACAAGACAUACCAAGGACCCAACAAAGAUCAAUCCAAAACCAAGUGAGAGGGCUGGCUGGGGAGACUCACUUCUUGGUGCCCUCGGGCACCACAAAGCGCUCAUAUCGAUCCGGGGCAUUCAUCUCCGGUUAACUCCUGGCACCUCCUGCUUCAAUCGCUGCAAGUGUGGUUCAUCAGACCACAGAGGAAAAGGGUACAAUAUCAGAAGUCAGACUCUGGUUUCAAAACUUUGUUGAGUACAACACUGUACACCCAUGACAGUGAAUGAAAUAGAACCCAUCAGAUUCCAUAUUUUUGACCGCGUUCUGAUGAUAGAGACGAAUUCAAUGGCGGGAAAAAAACAUAGUUAGGGUUCAGUUAAACCUCCGAAAACGAAUUCGUUAGCGUUCUCACGUUGCAAAUAGAAAUAAGCUCCUAUCGGUACUCUAACCACGCGCGCAAACAAAAUCCGCAACAAAAUUGACUGGAUUGCACGCCCGACUCGGAUUUUGUUGGGACCGACAAAAUUGGGGGGCCGGAGAAGGCUAGCAAGGGGGGAGGGGGAGGGGGAGGGGGAGGGGGAGGGGGAGGCUCACCAACCUGCUCGGGAGCGCGGGUUUCGAAUCCGGCGGCGUGGAAACCCUAGAGACGCGGGGGGGAGGAGAGGAGGGAGGAAGCGGCGGAGAUCAAGAAAACAGGUGGAGAGAGAGGUUGCGGGGGUUGUUUUGUUGCGGUGAAUAGAAGAGAAGAAGGGAACAGAAGAAAAGAAGGGAAGGAAAAAAAAGAGAUAAUUCCCUAUUUGAUAUCAGGAAAAUGACUAGUUCUUUUCUCCUCCACCACCCUUCUCCCUCCUCUCCUCUCCUUCUCCCUCUGCUCCACACCGGCCUGCCAGCUGCCGUGCCCCCGUGGGAAGCCUAACCCCGUCGGCCGUCGGGCCCCUUGGGAGACCGAGCGCCGCCGUCCGUCGUGCCCCCGCGGGAGGCCACCGAGCACGGUAUGCGGGACGAUGCGUUUUAGGGAUGACUCGGUGGCGCGGAUCGAGGGUUGCGGGACGGUGCUGUUCGCAUGCAAGAAUGGCGAGCACCACUCCUUCACCAGCAUCUACUUCAUUCCCCAGCUCACGGCCAACAUCGUGAGCGUUGGCCAACUCGACGAAGUCAGGUACAAGAUCAACAUCGACGCCAGAGUGAUGAGGAUUUAGGAGCAUAGAGGGAGGCUCCUGGCCAAGGUGGCGCGCGAGGAGAAUCGGUUGUACAUGCUCGACAUCAAGCUUGCACGGCCAGUCUGCCUGGCUGCACGCGGCGAGGAGAGCGCCUAGCUCUAGCAUGCUAGGCUCGGCCACAUCAACAUGGCAGCAUUGCGCAAGAUGGCACGGGAGCAAUUGGUUCGAGGGCUACCGACGAUCAAGCCAGUGGACCAACUGUGUGAGGCAUGCCUCGCCGGCAAGCAAAAGUGGAAGGCGUUCCCGGACCAGGCGCUCUGGCGGGCGGAGCGCCACUUGGAGCUGGUCCAUGGCGAUCUUUGUGGACCGGUGGCAUCAGCAACUCCAAGCGGCAACAACUACUUUCUGCUACUCGUCGAUGACAGGAGCUGUUUCAUGUAGGCAUUCCUGUUGUCGUCCAAGGAUCGAGCAGCUGAAGCUACCAAGAACUUCCAAGCACGUGUGGAGGCGGGUGCAAAUUGAAGGCACUCCGCACGGACCGUGGUGGGUAGUUCACAGCGACAGAAUUCGUGGAGUACUGUGCUACUGAUGGCGUGAGGCGGCAGCUGACGGCGUCGUAUUCUCCACAACAAAAUGGUGUUGUCGAGCACCAGAACGGGAUGGUGGUCGGCACCGCGCGCAGCCUUCUGAAGGCAAAGGGACUGCCGGGGAUGUUUCGGGGAGAGGCAGUGAACAUUGCUGUCUACCUGCUGAAUCACGUGCCAACAAAGAGCUUGGAGGGGAUGACACUAUUCUAGUCAUGGUACGGGAAGAAGUUGGCGGUUCAUCACCUAUGCACAUUCGGCUGCAUCGUCUAUGUCAAGAGCACGAUCUCGCACCUGAAGAAGUUGGAGGACUGCGGCCAGAAGAUGAUCUUCAUCAGCUAUGAAUGUGGGACCAAGGUGUGCAGGGCAUACGACCCAAUCAUUAAACGUGUGCAUGUGACACGGGAUGUGGUCUUUGGCGAGGCUUGCCAGUGGGAUUGGUCCAACGACAAUGAGCACGACGGUGCGGUGGGUGUUGGUAACGACAUCUUCACUAUCAAGUACAUGGCAGGACCAGUCCGUGGCGAGGAGGAAGACGAUCACCUAGUUUUCCCUUCACCAGCAACCCCUGCAGCAGCGUUCUCCCUGCCGCCCCACGGUACACCCACAACGCCGGAUGCUACGACAUCGUCACCAACUCCGCCAGGGAUCCAGUUCGCUUCGCCACCAGCCGAGGUGGGCGACAAGCUAGAUGCUGAUCACGGUGACAACAAUCCGCUAAGAUUCCGGAUAGUGGAGAACAUCAUCGGCUUGACAUCUCCGCCUGGGUAUGCUGUCCGGGAUCUGGGUGGUGAACAUCUACUGGAGGUGAGCACAGAAGAGCCGGCAUCACUGGUAGAUGCUAAGCGCCAGACCUGCUGGCAUAAGGUGAUGGAGGAGGAAGGUACGGUGAUUGCACCGAAGUAGACAUCGCCACUCCCUAGUACGAGAGUUUACUGCACAUGGUUAGAAAAUAAAACAGGGAUGGUCAAAAUGUAAAAGGAAUAAGUAAUACAGGGCAUUGCGGGAUAUGGUACGCACAUCAGCACAUAUACGAAAAGAAAGUCUACUCACAAAGUAAAUAAACAACUUCAACAGAAAACUAAUAACCAGUCGCAGUAUACAGAUGUUUGAUCAUGCCCACAAGAAAAAAAUGUAUGCGGAUGGAACCAGCAAUCAUGCACUACCCUACCUAACAAAAAAGGGGGUCUCAGGAUUUAGAAACCAAUUAUCAAAGUGAGAUAUUGUGCAUUCUGAAUCAGAUAGGCAGCUAUGCCACACUGCAAUUGAGAGCCUACUCGUUUCUGCCUAAAACAUCAAAGGACAUGGACUCAUGACAGGAAAAGAAAAAGCAAGCACAUUGUUUCAUCUUGAACGGUUGAACCAAAACCAUGGAAUUUCAUUCAAAAUCGUUAGGAGAUCAAUAUACUUUGCAUCCACGGUCAGGUCACCGCCGCCAAAUAUUUGUGACAGGCAAAGCCUCUUCAGGACUACAAGAUGACACCUAACAGGCCAAUAGCCCAAUACAAGGCACUGUGGGGGAAAAAGCUUCCUUUUUUUUUUCUAGUUUGCAGUAUCACAAAUUGACUUACACAACUAAGUUCCACAAUCGAAAGGACCGGGACACCACUCUGCAUAAAACUAAAACAGUACACAGGAGGAACACGGCACUUGAGUAACUCGGCGAAACCCGCGCGCCAGAGGUGGCUCCUCGAACUAACAGCCUAGCCAACACACCAAGCGAGAUGCCGUACUCAGAGCAGAGAAGGGGGGCACGAAUUCGAGCACAGAUUGCGCCGAAAAAAAAGAAGAAGGGGCGUCCCCCGGCUACCUGCUUCCGAAGGGUAGCACGCGCGAUUCAACGAGCAGAUGCCUCGACCGGUAGGUCAAACGUAGCAAAAGAAUCCGCAACCAACCGCGAGCGCGGGGACCCCGAUCUGAUUCUACAGCUCGCCGGGAAGAAGAGACGAACAGAUCUCGCGGGAAGAACAAACACACUGAUCCGUAGGGGGGGGCAAGCUAGGGUUCCGUUUAUACCUUGCCGACGGAGGGAGAGGAAGUCGAUCCGAGCCCGGGGGGCAGGAGGCGGCGGCCGGCGUGCUCAGGUUCGGUGGAAGGAGGAGGCGUGAGGGUUCGUUCGGCUUCUCGAUGCGGCCGGCGGGGCCUCAGUUGAGUCCGCUCAGUCGAGUUUGAGAUUAUUUUUUUUUCUCUUGCUCUAUUCUAAAGAAAAGAAAGGCUUUCUUGUUUGUCAAGAAAGAAAAAAAGAAGAAGAAGAAGAAGAAGGCUUUAUAUGGCUCAGGCCCAGUUAGGAACGGGCCAGCUUUGGGCUGCUUGCUUUUCUGGAAGCCAUCUAGGAUUAGAACAAUCAAUCAGACUCGUCUAACAGGAAGAAUAGUAGUAGGAUAGUUUUCGAUAUAUAUAAAUUUCGCGUGUUAUGUAUAAAAUUAUUAUUUCUUAAAUGCAAACAAUCACAACCAUUAUGUUGACGGGAGGACAAAAGCGGCUGUCCCGGCAACGGAGGGGCAGGGGUGCGUGGCGGGUGUAGGCGACCGGCGAGGAGCGGCACGAGGCCCCGAUAGCGGCGGCGGCGGCAGCGCGAGGCUGGUGGUACUGAAGCUCGAAGCGGUGCGGCGAGCAGGUCGUGCAAGUUGGCGGUGGCGCGCACAGACGAGCGAGCUCGAUAGUGGCUCUGCAGUGAUGGCUGGAUCUAGGGUUGACGGAAUACAAACACCAUCCAUUUCAUCGUCCCUCGUCACUCAAAUCAAACAACAAAAUUGAAAUGUUCUUGUUCCUCCAACCAAACACCAACUGCUCUCACCGUUGGACAAGACAAUCGAUCGCGGUGGAUGGCGUUGUGGUGUCCCCCACAAGGACAAGACAACGGCUCUCACCGCCCAUCUAUGCGCGUGGUCUCGGUGCACGCUCCCUCCCCCAUCAACUACGCCAACCUCUACUCAGAUGUGGGAAGGGUGGACGCCGCGCCACUGAUCGAGCCGUUCACGAAUUGGAGGCGUGCCCCACAGUGCGCGCGAUGAACAAGACGAGCUCGCCCGGCCUGAACGGCUUUGGGCCGGCGUUCUACGCGGCAUCGUGGCCUACGGUGGCGCCGGCUGUCAUGGACUUGGCUAAGGCGUUCCAGGACUGCAUUGCUGAACUCGAGCGCCUCAACCGGUCCUACGUCGUCCUGAUACCGAAGCACACUGCCCAGGAUGCCACACCCUGCUGCUCCAGACCAAUCGUGCCCAGUUCUGCAGUAUGCAGAUGAUACGCUCAUCCUACUCAGGGCGGACGUGGCUGAGCUAUCGGCGCUGAAGGAAGUGCUUGACCUAUUCUCUCUAGCUAAUGGGCUGCACAUCAACUAUCACAAAAGCACUACACCAAUGAGUGUGUCGGCCGAGAUGGCUACAUAGCUCCAGCAGAUCCUUGGCUGCCAGCUUGGGAAUUUCCCUCAAACGUACCUCGGGCUGCCACUAUCCAAUGAGAAGUUACGGCUCUCUGCUUUCAGCCCCUUGAUCGCCAAGGUUGACAAGCACCUCAGCGGCUGGAGCGUGUCCCUGCUGAACUCAACUGGGAGAGCAGUGCUGAUCAAUAGUGUGGUGGACAGCCAACUUACGUAUGCCAUGUCAGCUCUUCUACUGCCGCCUGGGAUUCUUGAUGCUCUAGAUCGGCGACGUCGACGCUUCCUGUGGUCCGGUGAGGAUCAUGUCAGUGGCGCCCAAUGUCUUGUCACGUGGGAAACCGCGUGUCAGCCAAAGGAGCAAGGGGGAAUCAGCCUCAAGGAUCUUUCCCUACAAAACAGGAGCCUCCUGCUCAAGCACCUGCACUGCCUCCAUCACCCUGAUGGCUCCUCUUAGGCCAAUUGGGUGCGCAGCCGCAUCGACAUUGCAAGCCUGCAGGGUGACGUCGAGGGCGCCCACUGGCGCAUCCUGGAAGAUCUGUUGCUGCUAUACCAAGCUCUCACCUGCUCUGCGGUGUCUGACGUCCUCUCCACAAGUUUAGGGCAUGAUCGCUGGUGUGCGAUUUGUUCCCUCUCCUUUUCUCCCAUGCCGUCAACACGGAGCAAUCAGUAACGCAAGUGCUGGCCGACGGGCUGGGCGCGCAUCUUGCUCCACGCCUGUCGUGCCGGGCCGGUGAAGAGCUGCACCAGUUAACAGCUUUGCUGGAUCAGGUCACGCUCCGGGAUGACGUGGACCAACGCCUGUCUCCUCUUCUCAGUGAUGCCUCAAGUCUACGAUCUGGUGCUGUCUACACCAAGCUCGUGCAAACGUCGGGAUCGCCACCACCCCCCUUCGUCAAGUUCGUCUGGAAGAACCGCGGGCCACCACGGGUGCAGUUCUUUGUGUGGCUUUUGGUGCAGGGCAGGAUCCAAUGCCGUGCCAACCUGGUAAUGAAAAACAUCAUCGAGGAUGCGUGGUGCGAGCUCUGUGGGCAGGUCGAAGAUUGCGACCACAUUGUCUUUCGCUGCCCCUUUGCGGCGAGUAUUUGGAGCUCCCUUGGCGCGAACACAACAAGCUCCUUUGUCCAAAGCCUAUGGACUAUUCACCGUCCGGCAAUGGUUCCUGCGCAACACUAUGACAGCUUUCUGCUCCUUCUUUGCUAGAUGCUCUGGAAACACAGGAAUGAUCUUGUGUUCCAGCGAGCUCGUCCCUCGCGCCAGCGCUUCUGGACAUCCUGCCGAGAUGAGGGUCAGCUCUGGAGCGAGCGCUUUAGGGCGUCUGACCGCGUCAUUGCUAACACUUGGUGCGCCAUUUUUGUUUCAAUGUAAACUUGAUGCUAGAAACAGUUUCUCCCUCCUCCCCUCCUUGUUUUUGCUGAACUAAACCAUGUAAAGAUGUUUGGCCAAAAAUCGCCUGUAAAAAAAAACACCAACUGGGAUUUUUGCUCAUCCUAAAAAAAGAGGAUGACCAUAUUCCGUCCUGUCCCUUCACUCCAUUCAAACACACCAUAAACUACGAAACACCGAACCCUAUCCUCACAGCCACCACCAUUAUUAGCAUACAUCCACUUCAUCCAAUAGCAACCCCAUGUUGCCCAAUGCUCGGCAUCCAGAUUGGAGGAGAUAGGAUAGUUAGAUUCAAACGAUAGCCUCAGUGAUACAAGAGAUAAUAUAGUGGCACACGUGGAGACUCCCAUAUGGGUGGACCCCCCCCCCUAAAAAAAAUCAAACCCCCUUCUAAUAUGGGAUAUGUACAUGUGUUUCUUUUUUCAAGUAACAUUCUUACAUUUUAGAUUGAGUGUUUAUUCAAAUUGUUGGCUAUUGAUGUUUUUUCUUGAAAAGUCUUGACCCUAUAAAAUUAGAAGUGUUGUGAAUUUUAUAUCUUUGACGAAAUGUGCAGGAAGAAAUUCAAUCAGAGUCACAUCUACCAAACCUCAAUAUUUUUUUCCACUAAAGGCCUCACCCGAAUUUCAUUACUAGAACAGCAACGAAAUUACAAAGUUUGAUAGUUUUAGGUUCCAGGACUGGUGACCACCAACAGUUUCAAGCGAUGCCAUCAACAGAGUGGCACACAAAGCUUUCUAACUGAGGCUUGCAGAAAGACCAAACCGUUGCUAACAAUCGAUGUACUGUAAACCUAAAAGUGAAUUUCCUCAAUGCCACUGAAAUUUAUAAUGAUCCCUGCAAUGCCAUCGAAAUUUUUGGCUUUCUUCAUUGCCAUUAGUUUAAAUUUGCAUUCCCUUCCUUGCCAUUGCCGUUAGCUUUCCGUUAGGAGAGAGUUAAGAGACGAGUAAAAUAAUGAUUUUGCCCUGGUCCAUCGUGCUCUGCGUCCUGCUCUUCAGAACGGCAGAACCGCCGUCCUCUCGUCGGUAAUGGCAGUGGCAGUGUCCUUGAGGAGGAGGUUCUCGGUCUUCGAGAGCAGCGCGCCCGAAGCUCUUGAAACACGUCCAUGGGCCAUGGACCGAGAAGCUCUCGAACGGGUGCUCCAGCAUGUAGGCAGGGCUCAGCCGCUGCUUGUCAUCGUCGGAGUCGCAGUCAGAGUAGCAGCACUCUGCGGCGACCUCCUGCCCCUCGACGUCAUCGGCCAUCUUGACGGCGCCCAGGUGGUCGGGCCGUCGGGGCAAGGGACGGUGCCGCCGUCACGGCUGGGUUGUUGGUGGAAGUUCAACUCGGUGUUCAGCAUAUAAAGCUGUGUACGACCUGAAGGUCUGCAAGGAUGACAUUGACCACACAAGCUUCUUUGCUAGUGCUUGUGCUUGUGCUCGCUUGUGCAAGAACUGGAGUUGCUUCCUCAAAAAGAAAAAGAAUGAAUGAAUGAAUCAAAGAAAGAAAGGAAGGAAGGAAGAAAAUAGAACUGCAGCGCGGCGGUUUCCGCGGGGCUGCCGCCCUGCCACAGAGAAUAUGAGCAGGAGUUGGAGCCUGGAGGAGCCCGCCGGCGUGCUGCUGCUUCUUGCUGCCCCCCGCGCUCAUCUUGACCGUCUCGUUCUUCUUGCUCGUGAGCCGUCGGAGGCUUGGAGCACGGGGCCACGGCGUCGUUGCCAGCGGGCGGCCAUCACAUCGCGGUGUCGUAGCCGUGCCGACUGUCGAGGAGGCGCGACGAGCACCGCACUCUCCUUUUCUCGAGUCCGCUGCUUCAAGAUCAUCUGCCGCUUCUUCAAGCUCCCCACCAGGAAGCGGUGGGGCGGCGGCCGUGGGAACAUAUUGCGAAAGCAAAGUCGCGAAAAUCAAAGUCGUCGGCGCAGCUAGGCUUAGAGCUUCACGGUGUUCAGCAGUGGGCACAUAUUGUAAGUGGAACAAACUUAACGACAAUGGCAUCGAAGGGAAUGGAAAUUUCAAAUAGUGGCAGUAAAGGGAGGUGAAGAAUUUCGAUGGCAUUGAGGGGAUAAUUUUUAGUGGCAUUGAGGGAAUUCACUUUAAAUCUAAAUAGAAAAUAAAGUCUUCUCAUGUUCCACCAUGGGGAUGAUUUGUCAGGCAUUCCCGCUUCUACUAGAGCAGCACCAUUCCAGCAUCAUCCGUCGGUGCUUCCUGCGCAUGGAAGUGAAGCGUUGUUGUCUUCAUUGCUUCCGCUCCAGCCUCCAGGUUCCAUUUGUCUUCUGACUUCUGGAGACCUGCCCAAAAUGAUAUGAAAGUAGAUGCUGAACACACAAUCUCGAUAGGAGAUUUUAUAUAGAGUAAAAUAUACAGGUGGUCCCUGAACUUGUCAUAGGGUAUCAAUUAGGUCCUUAAACUUUUAAAAUGCAUUUUUAGAUUCAUGAACUUGUCUUAGAUGCCAUCUAGGUCCCUAAACUCUCAAAACACAUUUACAAGUCUCCUAACUUAUCUCAAGGUGUCAUCUGAGUCCUUAAACUAUCAAGGUUCCUUUUAAAAUCCUCAAUCAAGCGCCAAGCAACACAUGCACGAUCACUAACAUAAGGUGGUUGUGAAGGCAACGAGUGAGGAGGAAGUAUUACCAUUAGCGACCUGUGACAAGUUUUAAGAUUUGAAAAUAUAUUUUGGGAGUUUAGGGAUCCGGAUGAAACCCGAGGACAAGUUUGGGGUCUAAAUAUGCACUUUGAGAGUUUAUGGACCCAGAUGAUACCUUGAAACAAGUUUGGUCACCUGAAAAAUGUAUUUUGAGAGUUUAGAGACCCGAAUAACACCGCAAGACAAGUUCAGGGACCGUCAAUGUAUUUACUCUUUUUAUAUAUUAUAUUUUUUAGAAGCAAACUACAUUUCUUGCUUUCCACGGGGCCCAACAGAUAGCUGAAAAGUCUACCAUAUGAAUGAUUCUACUCCGAGGCAUAAAUCUACUAGCCCAUUUCCAGAUUGAUCAAAUUACAGGAGAUCCCUAUGACCAAAGCAAUCAAACCUCAAUGUUGACCCUAUCAAAAUAUCUCAACCGUCUUUACACAGCACCUGCGUAGCCUAUAAGGUUCCAAUCUUUUGCAAUGUUGUCUAAAUGGCUUGGUUCUUGUCAUUAUUUAUUCUGGUGAUGGAGUGAGGUAAAUUGCAAUUGGUCUGCUACAGUUAGCAUGCAUUAUCCUUGAUAGACAGAGGUGCAACUCGCUGCCUAAGAUUUAUUCAAUGUGUGGUUAUCACAAAUACUCACUCCGUCACAACUUACUAUUCGUUUUGGUUUUCAUACAAUUUUUUUGAUAUGGAUCUAGAUGUAUGUGUGUCUAGAUACUGUCACACCCGGUUUCUGGACAAAACCGAAUGCAUCGUAUAUGUGUGCCAGGAUCCGUUCUCACACAUAUGCUGACGUCAUCAGUGAAUACAUCAAAGACAGUGCUCAAAAAUGUACAUAAACCAGUAGGAACUUUAUUACACUCAGCGUGAUAGACACGAAGGUCUUUAAUCGUUCACCGAUAACUUAACACGCACACACACACAGCGCAGCUUCUCCACAGGCUUGACUGGUGAACUGCCUGCCUAGAACUCCUCAAAGUCGUCGAAGAACUCCCCGUCAUCACAAGCUUCUGAACAACGUUUGGGCAAGGGUGAGUACACUUAUGGUUGAUACUCAGUAGGUGGGGGAUACUCAGCAGGUGGGGGAAAACAUGCAAGGCUUACAAGGAAUGGCUCAAGGCUUUAAGCGGUUAGCAUUUUAAUUGGUCAAAUUUUAUUAGCAGCACCUAAUUACUAGAUGUAAGUUUAUAUCAACCCACUUAAGCAUAUAACAUUAACAUUAACCCAAAGGUAAAGGUAACACAGUUAAUCUCAUGUUUAAGUUCAAUUAUCAUGUGAGGGUCCAAGCCGCUCUUAACCGUGAGCACGACUGAUAUAUCAGUUUUCACUCUGCAGAGGUCGUACACUUUACCCACAACUCGUGGUCCCCCGUGUCGCCCAGGUUUGCAAAGCCCUUAAACACUUCCUUUGGUGAGUGGCUGGGGGGUCCACUACGAAGCCUUUACAAAGACACGCAGGUAACUGGUAGCCCGCUAGAGUUUCAGUAGCAAUGUGGACCAUAACCCGUUAAUGAGACAGCACCUUAGCGAAGGCUACUGCUCCGGAUCGUGCACCCAACACCUUCCCCCUCCUUGCCCUUUCGGUAAAGCCACCAGCUAACCACAUACCUAAUUAUUCAGCUAAGAUCAAAGCCAUAUGAUGUUGUGGUUGUACUGUUUUCUUGGGUGGUUCUCCAUGUUCCGAUUAAAACAAGUGUUCUUGCAAUUAAACAUGUAUAGCAACAUAAAUAAAGCAUGAUUAACAUGUUUCAUGAUUAGCACAUUACCAACCCAAUUUAAGUGACUAGCAAGUCUACCCAACAUGAUUAAACAGGUUUUCAAGGAAUAAGGAUUAAAACUAGGUAAGUCCUUAAUAGGCAUUCCCGUCAAACUUAUGCACAUACAAGAAAUAAGUAAAGUGUUUAAUCAUGAUAUUAUUGGGACAAAAAGGACAUGCAGGGGGAGAAGGCCACUUGCCUUCCUCGGCAAACUGGGGGUACUCUUCUUCGAACGGUGGCUGCUCCUGGACUUGCUCCUCCGCGAACGUCACGUCAUCUACACGAUCACACAAGGCAAACAAACAAAGAAUGAUUAAAACAGUACAAAAAACAUAUGCAAAGUCUUACAACAAACUCCUAAAACUAACGUUCAUGCAGAGACGAUCGCGUGAGCGCAAGAAUCGCUGAAAUCGGAUUUAAAACGAGGAAGAUAUGAGAUAAACAAGUUUCAGGGGCUAAAACAGAAUUAACUAUAUACUUCAGGGGCUAGCAUGGAAUUUUAGAAAGAUAUAUUGAAUAGUACAUGCGAAAACAGAGAAACAUAGGGUUAGAUCUACAAAAUGACAUGGCUCGGGUUAAAAUAAAAGAAUACAGGAACUUCAGGGGCUUCUCUGGAAAAUUUACAAGACACAAGAAUGAAAAGAAGAAAUAUUAGAUAGGCCAGGGGGUAGAUUAGAAAAUAGCCUUAUCAUCUUCUACCUCUCGCCAGAGGCACGGUAGGGGUGCGGCGCACCACCGGCGGCUUGCCGGCGCCCUUGGCGCGGCGGGGAGAGGAACCGGUGCAGGCAAGGGGAAAGAGAGAGGCGCGCGAAGAGGGAACCUCACUGUCGGCGGCGAGUUGAAGGAAGCAGGCGCUCGAGCCGGCGAACAGGAUGGGCAGCGGCGUACAGGAAGUUUCGGGCGGCGGCGUGGCUUGGGCGGCGGCGCAGCGGUGCGAGAGAGAGGCAGGUGAGUAGCAAAACGGAAAGAGAAACUCCGAGCGAGGUCGAUGGUGACCUUUAUAGGCCCCGAGGAGGAGCGGAAGGGGCUCCCGGGAGAGAUUGAAGGUCGGCCGGCCAUUAAUGGCCUUCAAGCUUGUGCGGAAGGGGCUCCUGGGAGGGAUUUCGGCCCAAGGAGAGAAAAGAGAGGUGGAGGGCUUUGAGAAUUUAAAUAGAGUUGAAGCUUUCAAAAUCAAAUUCAAAUUCUUUUGAAAUUCAAAAGCAAGCAUUCAAACAAAAGCCAAAAUAAAAGAGAAAAGAAAAAAAACUCUACCAAGCACUUAUUGCUUCUAAAAUUAUUUCAAGUGCUCUUUAAUUAUUUAAAGACCGUAAUUUAAUUAAAGUAAUUUAUUUAAUCCUUAGAGCACGAAAAACUAGACCGAGUUGCUUACAUUGUAUUGUGAUGGAAUUUUGGGUGUUACAGAUACGUAGUAAAAACUAUAUAUUUAGAGUCAAAACGAAUAGCAGUUUGAGACGGAGGGAGUAUUAGUUAAUAAGGCAUCCAUAUAUUUCAAAUGAAAAUGCCUGAAUUCAUACUUUGUUGACAAGUACGUAGAAGAAAAGGGGUUGUUGUUUGAUCGGAUUUAGUUGUUUGACUUAAGAAUUUUGAGACCUAACUGUUUUAAUGUAUUAAUAUUUCUUCUAAAUGUAAAUAAUCACAACCAUUAUGCUGAUGGGAGGACAAGGGUCCUCUCCGGCAGGCUCGGCACUCGGCAGCAGUGCCUCUAGCAGUCUAGCUGCAGCACGUUGAUGGCCUGCCUGACGGAAGGCCUCAGGCUCCGGUCAGGGUGCGCGCACUACAACCCGACAGCUCGCCAUCACCGUCUCCAUCUCGCCGGCGUCGAACUCCCCUUUCAGCCGCGCGUCGGCGGCGUCGAGGAUGUCUCCCCUGCCGUAGAACCCCCACACCAUUUCUCACUCCACCGACCAUGUCCUUUUCCUCGAGGACAUCACUUUGAUUUCUCACUCCUACCAUGGUCGGUGAGUGAGGAAUCAAGGGGACAGUUGAAUUUUUUUAAAAUCAAUUUGGCACUACAUUUUUAAAACAUGAUGAACAUCUAAACCAAUUCGACACUACAUUUUUGUCCGGUGCAGAAGCGGUGGUGCCGGUGCUGCUGCUGCUGCCGCCUGUCGCAACUGAAGACGUGUUGCACAAAGCAUUAGGCGGUGGCAAGAAGGGUCGCCACCGGCAGGCUUGGCAGGGGCGCCUCUCGCCGGAGCACGUUCACGGCCUGCCGGAUCGACGGCCUCAGGCUCCGGUCAGGCCGUCAGGGUGAGGGUGCGCGCACCACAGCCCGACGACCAUCACCGGCGGCGGGAACGCGCGAUCCGGAGCAAGUGGGCGCUUGUCAGUAACGACUGCGGAGUUCGGGAGGAUUUUUGUUUUUUUUUUUCGCUUGACGAAGUUCAGCUGAGCUUCUGCUUCUGCUUCGGCUCAACAACAUCUUAGCUCUGAAUUAGGACGUGUAAAAUUGUGGCUUUCCUUUGGUCGUUGUGCUGUCCAGUUUGGACUUUGGACCACGCCAGAUGCAUGUGGAUAUCGUACAUGGAUGUUUCAGAGCUGUCACUACUCACAAAACGUGUUUCAGAGUUGCCAUGUCGUUCGAAAUGCAAAAGGGAACGUUUCUCGGCUGUCUCAAGAGGUGACGUUUUCAUCGUCAGCAGUACAUUCCGAAAUAUAUUUCUACUCUCCCCAUUCCAAAAUGUAGAUCAUUUUAGCUUUCUUAGUUCGUAGAUUUUGUUAUAUAGAUAGUGUAUAUCUUUUUAGAUAAGGGAAAAAUGUUCGGCUUCUACACCCAUGGAUCAUGGAAGAUAUAUGGUGUGUUUGGUUUGAGGAAUCACCUCAUCCUAGAUGAGAUUGUCCAUCAUGAGUAGAUCUUAUAAAAUUUAGUGGGAUGAUCCCAUUCUUCAUGGCUAUACUAUUUAUUAGUUUGUGAGGGAUGAGAUGGUGAGGGAUCAAUUCAUUCCAUUCCACAAACCAAACGAAAAAGUGACGAGGGAUAAGAUGAGGCAUGACUCCAUUCCUCGAACCAAACACCCCAAUAGUGUAUAUCUAGGUGCAUAGCAACAUCUAUGAACAUCGAAAAUCUAAAACUACCUGCAAUUUGAAAUAGAGUGUGUAUAGUUUACUUCUUUGAUGGGGCAAAUGUUAAUUCCCUUCUCCGCAAAUUUGACCAAACUUAGGAUCCCUUAUAUUUGCUGAUGGAGAGAGUAAUAGCUUGAUGACAUUUCAGAGACGACCCCGCUUGUCCCAACAGAAGAUUGAUCAGUGCUUAACAAGCCAGCCGCCGGCGGUGGCUUGUAGGUUGCCGCCGGCGUCCUCAUAGGGAGCCUCGGCAGCGGCAGCUCCAACCGCAGCACGCCGACGACCUGCCUGAUGGAUGGCCUCAAUCUCCGGUCAUCCAGCGUGCACCAGAGCCCGGCCACGAGCACGCUCUCCAUUUCCCGGGCAUCGAACUCGCCGUUCAGCCGUGGGUCGGCGGCGGCGAGGACCCUCCCCUGGCCGUGGAGCUCGGCCACGUGCCACGCCAGGUGGAUCACGGCGCCGUCGUCGAGCACGACGGCGGGGCUCCGGCCGCAGGCGACCUCGAGGAGGACGACGCCGAAGCUGUAGACGUCGGACCGGGCGCUCGCCCUGCCUCUGGCCCUGCGCUCCGGGUCCAUGUACCCCAACGUGCCGGCGGCCACCGUGGUGUGUGAUCCUCGGGCGUGGUCGACGAGCCUGGCAAGCCCGAAGUCGCCGAGCUUGGCGGUGAAGGACGCGUCCAGCAUCACGUUGCUCGGCUUGAUGUCCCUGUGAAGCACGCACUGCUCCCACUCUUGGUGCAGGUAAAGAAUCGCCGAGGCGAUCUCCAGCACGAUCUUGUGCCUAAAAACAUGCAGAAUUUUAACAAAAUUUACUAUUAGUAAAUGGAGUCUCCUUUUUAAUCCUUGCGAGACUUGUUAAAAAUGUUCUAAAAUUCCUGAGAUUGUACCUGCAAAAUGGACAAUUUGAACAAUACUGAUAAAUUAAAAAAGAAAUAUAAUGCACUUGCCGAGGCAAAAAAUAAAAAAAUAAAAGACAACAACACAGCCGUAAAGAACUUGCCUGAGUGGCCACGAUAAUUUGUUAUCUGCACUGUGCAGAUGCUUGUCGAUGCUGCCGUUGGGCAUCAGCUCGUAGACGAGGAGGAGGUCGCCGCCGCCAUGGCACCAGCCGAUGAGCUGCACGAGGUUGCGGUGCCUCAGCCGGCUGAUGAUCCUCACCUCCGACGCGUACUCUUUCCUUCCUUGGUUGGAGCCCUUGGACACCCUCUUGAUGGCGACGUGAAGGUUCAUCUCCUUCAGGAACCCUCUGUACACCGAUCCGAACCCGCCUUCUCCGAGCUUGUACUUGUCCGAGAAGUUGUCCGUGGCAACGGCGAGCUCGCCGUAGCGAAACCGCUUUGGCCCUGACCCUUUCUCGAACUCGUCUUCCAUCGCCCUCGUUUCCUCGUGGAGGUUAGCCUCCUUCCGCCGUCGCCGCCGGAGAAGGUUCCACAUGGAGAAGCCCAGAAGUAUCAAGAUCGAGACGGAGCCGACGGACACACCAACCACGAUCCCAGUCUUGGAAGAUGAUGAAGGUCCUGUCGAGGUGUGUAUAAGAUAGGAUAAUUCGCGUCCACCGAUAAAGGAAGGUGCAAGUAACACAGAAUGUUUACCUCCAGCUGGCGGCGGCGUCGCCGGCGCUGGCGCCGGCGGCAGGGUGAUGUCGAGCGCCGCCACCUGGUAGCGCAGGUAGCAGCUGUACCCCUUGAUGACGCCGCCGCUGUUGUUGGGGAACAGCUUCCCCAGCUGGCCGACGUAGCUGCUGACGCAGCGCGAGCACUCGCUGGCGUUGAGGUCCCUGCUGCACUGCGCCAGCCCGUACAUCUCCUGCGAGGACUGCGAGCUCGAGUACGGCGUGCUGCCGCUGGCGAGCCGCAGCGGCGAGGCGGCGGCGCCGCCCGUGAGCUCGCUCAUCAGCGGCACCCAGGCUGCCCGCACGCCCUCCGAGGUGACGGCCACCUCGGGGAAGGUCAGGUACACGAUAUACAAGACGGCGAGGUCCGCGGUGGCCGGGAUCGGCGCCGCCGAGUACCGGAGGGUGCACGCGUCGUACAUGGCGCGAACGCUCCGGCUGCCCGGGCACACCGUCGUGAUCCCCGCGGGCGCCCUGGAGAGGCAGUCCAUGCACGCCGUCGCGUUGUAGUCGGCGUAGCACAUGAUGAGGCCGUACACCCUGUCGGCGCCUGUCCCGACGCUGCCCUCGUAGAACCAGCCGUUGUCGCCGGCCGCCGCCGGGAGCGCGGCGAGAAGCUGGUCCAGGUUCUUCUUGUACUGGCUGUCGGCCGUGUAGUUGUCCGCCGUCGAGCAGUCAGGCGGCCACGGCCGCAAGAUCUUGUCGUCCUGACCAGCAGCCGCUGCGCAGAGCAAAGCGAAGGUGGCGAGGGCGACAGCGAGACGGGGAGGCGCCAUGGUCGUUGGCCGGCCAGCGACGCCGUUCCUUACCCCCCCUCUUUCUGUCGUCGUCGUCUCCUCUCUCCAAAUCGUGCAGCCAGCUGAUGAAGUCCCAGUCUCGAGUUGUUAAGAACUUCAGACAUUUCGCGGCGGACCCUGUCGGGGUCAGCAGUCAGCAGCAGGCGACUCCUACUUCAGAGUUCAGACACAGACACAGGUGAUGAAUGAUUCAGAGCCGUCAAUUGUGAUGCCGUGCUGAUAUUAAUUAGAACAUAGACUAGUUACAAAACUAAUUGCACAGAUAGAGGCUGCGAGACGAAUCUAUUAAGCCUAAUUAGUCCAUGAUUUGACAAUGUAAUGCUACAGUAAACAUGGGCUAAUGAUGGAUUAAUUAGACUUAAUAGAUUCGUCUCGUGAAUUAGCCUUCUGUAAUUAGUUUUAUAAUUAACUCAUAUUUAUUCCUUCUAAUUAGUCUCCAAAUAUUCGAUGUGAUAUAAAUUUUAAUCUAAACUAAAGACUCUAACCCUUCGGUCGUCCUGCCGCGUUGAGGACGCCGUUGAGGGCAGGCUUAACGACGGACUGCUCCUCUACGGUCAUCAAAGUGAGCUGCCACCCAUCCAAUCACCAUACCAUUGGCCUCCAAGUGAGCUGCAUUUUUCAUCUUUUUACCUCACACGGCCAGACCUCUGUGCAGGGGUGUGAGACAGGAAUUUAACAUGGUUGUAUAAAGGUCAAUCUGUUCAUGUUAGAGUAACUAUAGUCAUCUCCUUCUCCAUGUAUGUUUAAUUUCAAAGCAAUCUAGGAGUUGAGCUCUAGGAGCGUACUGCACUACUGCGGCAUGCCUCGUCCAUGCUACAGCAUGACACAUCUCUGAAAUUUCUUAGUUCAGGAAAGUGGCAGCUCUGAAACUUUCAUCUAUGAUGAAUGAUAAUCCAAUGGCAUCUGACAUGGUCCAAAGCUAAAAUUUUGUACUUUGUAACUUGUAAACCAAUUUAAUACUAGUAGAUUGCACAACUUUAGUUUGUAACUUGUAAACCAAUUUAAAAAGAAAAGAAAUAAAACUUUUUGUAACGAGUUCCCCUGAAUUUCCUGAAUAGAGAAACAGUAUGCCGACUGCUGGCUGACUCUGAAAGGUUCCUGCUUGCGGCGAGACUGAACUUCGAACCGCUUUAACACAAUUCCGCUACUGAAAUUUAGGGAAAAAAACAAUGAGAACACAAUUCGACUGCUUGCUGACGAUGGAUUGAUGGAUGGUGAUAAAAGUCAGAAUGGAUUGUUUCUGAUAUCUGAUGGUCUUUGCAGUGACCGUCAGCGCACGCGGCUUACAAAAGACAUCAAAAUUAUGAGAGCCGACAGUAAUAGGAGCAGGUUAAUUUGAUAAUGGACUCGAUCUAAACCAAAAGCAAGACGGCAUGGUUGACAGAUUAUCCAAAUUGCAUUUGACAUGGUCCAAAUCCACAAUUUUGUAUCUUCUAGAGUGCUACUCCAGAGAUAAGAUAUUUACAUUACAUUAUGCAGCAAAGUGCCCCAGAAGGAAAUCACUUCAUCGUAUGUUUUGUAGCACCAGUAUCAGUUAUGCUCAUGCAGCCCUCUAAGAGCAAGUUUAAUAACCUUCUUGACGGUGGACAGGCACCGAGAGCGCGAUCUGAUGGGACAGCCUUUUAGAGAUCCAGCUUAGUUAGUUCGUGCGUAGGGAUUCGAGAGGCUUUCAGGGGAUUUUUAGAAUGAUUGCACUCAAGAGGGUUUUUAGACAGGGUCAGGCCGCUCAGAAGCGUAAUACCCUACGUCUUGUGUGUUAUGUUGCUUAGAGUUGUCUACCUAUGUACAAGAGCUGGCCUUUUAUAGGCUAGGCCCAGGGGAGGAUCGGUUGUGGCGAGUUUUGUGCCCCACUCCUCCCCUCUACAUUGUGUGUGAAUGCGGCGGCUGAAUGGCCGCCCUCCUUGCUACAGUUUUCUGACACGUCAUUCAUUUGCCCUAACACUCCUUGCCUUGGUACGCACGGCGCCAGGGCAUCCUGAUCAAGUCCUUUGUUUACUUUUUACCACCUUAUCACGGUAAUCUUCGUCCUUCUUGGCCUGGCCCCCCCUCCUGGGGGAAGGGGCGUUGAACUUGGCUCCCGGGAGGUUAUUGCCACUUCUUGGGGUCGUAGUGGGGCCCACUCCUUGGGCAGUGGGCAGUCAGGAGCCAGCGGGCGCUCCUGGCACGAGGGCGGUGCCCGCGCGCCUAUUGGACGGGAUGGGUGAGGCUGUCAGUUCCUGAAGGGCCUAGGCGCGUCCCGUCGAUCGUAAUGAUGGUAUUUUUAUACGGACGGGGCGCCCACUAACAACCUGCCUCGACUGUCAUGCCCUCUUGUUCCUAGACACGCCACCGCUUGCUUCGCCUAAAUAAUUACAAACAUAACUAAGAUGUAUAUAUUAACAUUAAAUUCUCAUAUCAGUGAAUAAAAAAUUCAUUUGUCAUCCCAUAUCUUCAUCAUUACCUAAAUAAUCCUUUUAAAUAUUAUUAUUAUUAUUAUCAUUUGAUUAUAUGAAUAUGUCACUUGAACCAUAAAUUUAGCAAAUAGCGGCCGCUAAGUCCAAACAUGCUAUUUUAAUUUGGAUCCGCUACCUUGUAGCGGUAGCGGUAGGAUACCACUACCACUAUAACGGAUGCUAUUGUGGAUAGUACAAAUGCUAUUUAGUACCUUACCUAUUCCUAUACAUAAUUUCCUAUUGAACCGGACCUCUUGUUAGAUUUCCAUCCUCACAAAGGAGGUGCUGGGAGAGUUAAAGAGUCGCUGCAUGAAGGCGGGACCAGCAUUUGUCUUGGAGAGCGUGAUCCGCCGGUCGCUGGGUCCGUCGAGAAGUUCUCUCUUUCUUCUCAUUUUUCUCUCUGCCGCUUCUGAUUUUGCUGAUGUAAUUGAUCGAUUCGACAACUAAGCUGUCCUGUUACAAUUUCAGUUUCGGGGUUUUGUCACCGACGAAAUUACCGAAAUUUCAGUAAAAUUUCGUCGUUUUUUAAGUCUUGACCAAAUUAGAAGAUUUUUGAAUUUUUUAAUCUAAAUAAAUGAUUAGUAUGAUUUAUCAAACAAUAGAAAAUAUGAGUAUUAAGUACUAUGUUUACAAUAAAGCAUAUGCAUAAGUGUAAUAGUAAAUUUCGGUGUUUUCUUUUUAUCACCACCAAAUUUACCGAAAUUCAUAAAAUUGCAGCGAAAUUUCACCAAAAUUAAGAACCCUGUUAUUGGACGUGCUCUAGGACCAUGACAAAUAAUUUACCUAGUUGCUAGCUAUAUAUUUUGUUGAUACAUUCCAUUAAACACCUGUUCUUUGAUUGUACUUAUACUAGGUUCUUGAGGAUGGCUGUACACAUUGUGUUUGGUAUUGUUUUUCCAUUUAAUACCAAGGAUCUAUUCGGAAAUUGGAUAAAACAGGCGGCAAAAACCAAACUUAGACUUACUGAUAGGGGUGGUGGAUUUAUUUUGCGCAAUUUAGCUAACGAGAAAUGAUGUGUUUUUUAAUAAAUGUCAACCGAAAACUAUUAUGGAGGUCUUAUGCAGAAUUUAUUGGCUCCGACAAUGAACGUAGUUACAACACCAUGAUGAGCAAAAGGAUAUAAUGAUCCAAACAUGCCGAACGUUGGAGACUUCGUCGCUUCAUUUCUUCGCCUCCGAUUGAUUUUUGAUCAUAUGUGAUAAACAUAUAAACAAUAGUCAUGUGAGCAUACAGCGCAAGCAUACUACCUGUAAUAAUUUUUUGGACUGAUUCCUUCUCUACGAAGUGGUUGAAUUGAAGUUGAAUUUUGUAUCCAUUAUCUAAAAAAAAUCUUGUUGAUAUGAUAUCUUAAGCCAAUCUAAUAGCGCACUCAUAGCUAUGGGUAUAGCCUACACCUUUAAUAUCUGAUUUAUUUGAGCUAAUUUAAUAGUUGCCGAUCUCAUUCUCUCACCGAAUUUUUUAUUAGAGUAUGUGAUGCGGCCGUCUCCCAGGCAGUGCUAUAGGUAGACUUGCAGGCCGCUCCUCCCCACGCUCUCUAUCUUCUAAGUUUGCACAAAUCUAAUAUGGUACUCUAUAUCAUCUUAGAUAUCAUACUUGAUCUAACUUUAUGAGAAUCCAAGACCCAGGACAUGCACAUCCAUCUUCAGAAGGCGUGUGAUGGGGUGGCAAUUAAUGUACCAAGCAACAUCAUAAAUUGUAGCUUCUGUCCUUUCCCUUCCCCCCCUCCUCAAACAAAGUUCAGAUCUGUUCAGUUCGAGUCCAGCCAUGAAGAACAAGAGCGCAGCAACGGCCUUGGUCCUACUUCUCCUGACCUUCGGUGAGUGACCGAGAGUACAUCCAGAAUCCAAAGCAUGAUCACCCUGUCAUGCAUACUUGCAUUAUUACUGGAGUAUUAACCUGAGGAACACAUAACUGCAUAUCUUUCUACUGAUUGAUUUGUUGGUUCAUUUGAUUUCAUUGAGCAGGAGCCGAGGUGAAGGGAUCCUGCAAUAAGGCGGCAUGCAACCUUGCUUGCAUGAGGAUGGGCUACCAAUAUGGCGGCCGCUGCGUUGGCACCUUCCUUCGACGAUACUGCAAGUGCAGAAGUUUUUGGAAAGAUGUUGAUGAUGCUAGGGUUGGAGCAGAACAAGGUGGUGACGAUGGAGGUAAAGCCCCACCGCCCCAAUAUGGCCUCGGGGAGGAUGAGUUGGCGACGUUCAUGGUGAUGGCCCGGAGAGGUAGAGGCCAUGUGUGAAGAGAGAUGAGAAGUGCCAGCUCAUUGAUUAGUCGUGCAACCACAUGUUUGUGUGUCAUUGGGUGCUACUUGUACAUGCCAAUUGGCAACAUGAUCUUGAUGAGUUGAUGAAAAUAAAGAAAUGGCUUUGUUACCAUGUGUCUUCGAUUUGUCAUUUUUAAGAUCGUCUGGCGAGGAUGCAUCGGACCUCAAUUAUUUCAAGAAGUACCAACCCACAGUUACAAAGAGAUAGGCAUAUGACCGAAUAGCAUAUAACCAUGACAUCUGACAACACCGUGCACUUAUGUACACUAAAAAAAAA
rnacentral:lncRNA from 1 species